GAACGUUGAUAGGUUGCAGGUGUAUAGUCGGUGACGGCACAGCCGAGCAAUACUAAUUACCCGAAUGUUUACUUUA
rnacentral:rRNA from 1 species